UACGGAGGGUGCGAGCGUUGUCCGGAAUCAUUGGGCGUAAAGGGCGCGUAGGUGGCCCGGUCAGUUCGUGGUGAAAGCGCGGGGCUCAACCCUGCGUCGGCCAUGAAUACUGCCGCGGCUGGAGCACUGUAGAGGCAGGCGGAAUUCCGGGUGUAGCGGUGAAAUGCGUAGAGAUCCGGCGGAACACCGGUGGUGAAGACGGUCUCCUGGGCCGAGGGCCGACGCUGAUGCGCGAGAGCGUGGGGAGCGAACCGG
rnacentral:rRNA from 1 species